GAGACACGGCCUAGACUCUUACGGGAGGCAGCAAUGGGGAAUAUUCUGCAAUGGGCGCAAGCCUGAUGGAGCAAUACCGCGUGAGGGAGGAAGGCCUUUGGGUUGUAAACCUUUUUUGUCAGGGAUGAAGGUCUGACGGAAAAUACGAAUCAGCAUCGGCUAACUCCGUCCCAGCAGCCGCGGUAAUAAGGAGGAUGCAAGCGUUAUCCGGAUUUAUUGGGCGUAAAGGGUCCGCAGGUGGUUAUUCAAGUCUGCUGUCAAAGCGCGGAGCUUAAUUCCGUACAGGCGGAGGAAAGUGAGGAAGUAGAGUUUGGUAGGGGUCGCGGGAAUUCCCAGUGUAGCGGUGAAAUGCGUAGAUAUUGGGAAGAACACCGGCGGCGAAAGCGCGCGACUGGACCGGAACUGACAUUGAGGGACGAAAGCUAGGGGAGCGAAAGGGAUUAGAUACCCCUGUAGUC
rnacentral:rRNA from 1 species